rnacentral:rRNA from 1 species
UACACUCCUACGGGAGGCAGCAGUGGGGAAUAUUGGACAAUGGGCGCAAGCCUGAUCCAGCCAUGCCGCGUGAGUGAUGAAGGCCCUAGGGUUGUAAAGCUCUUUCACCGGUGAAGAUAAUGACGGUAACCGGAGAAGAAGCCCCGGCUAACUUCGUGCCAGCAGCCGCGGUAAUACGAAGGGGGCUAGCGUUGUUCGGAUUUACUGGGCGUAAAGCGCACGUAGGCGGACUAUUAAGUCAGGGGUGAAAUCCCGGGGCUCAACCCCGGAACUGCCUUUGAUACUGGUAGUCUUGAGUUCGAGAGAGGUGAGUGGAAUUCCGAGUGUAGAGGUGAAAUUCGUAGAUAUUCGGAGGAACACCAGUGGCGAAGGCGGCUCACUGGCUCGAUACUGACGCUGAGGUGCGAAAGCGUGGGGAGCAAACAGGAUUAGAUACCCUUGUAGUCCCA